GGUGUCACUGGCGCACGGGUGAGUAACACGUAGGUUAUCUGCCCCCAUCACAGACAAAACAUCGGGAAACUGGUGCUAAUAUCUGAUGAGGCCGCGAGGUCAAAGCUUCGGCGGAUGGGGAUGAGCCUGCGGCUGAUUAGCUAGUUGGUGAGGUAAUGGCUCACCAAGGCGACGAUCAGUAGCUGGUCUGAGAGGACGAACAGCCACACUGGAACUGAGACACGGUCCAGACUCC
rnacentral:rRNA from 1 species